CUUAAAAAGCUGUAUUGCUUUUAAGGGUUAGAGAGACAGAGGGAGACAGAAAGAGAGAGAUAGAAGGAGCGAGAGUGUAACGACCGUUGUUGGAAGGAUGGUCGGACCAAGAUGCAGCGUGGGGGUGAACCUGGCGUUGGCUUAAACUCAGUUGACAGAGGAGCUGGGUCGUGCUAGAGGUCUGGCCUACACUGAGUUGACAGAGGAGCUGGGUCGUGCUAGAGGUCUGGCCUACACUGAGUUGACAGAGGAGCUGGGUCGUGCUAGAGGUCUGGCCUACACUGAGUUGACAGAGGAGCUGGAUCGUGCUAGAGGUCUGGCCUACACUGAGUUGACAGAGGAGCUGGGUCGUGCUUGAGGUCUGGCCUACACUGAGUUGACAGAGGAGCUGGGUCGUGCUAGAGGUCUGGCCUACACUGAGUUGACAGAGGAGCUGGGUCGUGCUAGAGGUCUGGCCUACACUGAGUUGACAGAGGAGCUGGGUCGUGCUAGAGCUCUGGCCUACACUGAGUUGACAGAGGAGCUGGGUCGUGCUAGAGGUCUGGCUGUCAAACACUGAGAUCCUGAGGAAGGCGUUCCACCAGCAGAUGGGUUUGAUCAACAACAGGAUCUGGGAGUAACCAUGGAGGAACAUCCCCUCUCACCACAGAAGAGCCAACCUCCAACUCCCUCAAACCACUCUCAUCAGCAAGCUUUCCAACUGUCCAACCAAAACCACUGCCUUGUCUACUAGUAUAUUCCCAACAGUCAUCUAGAACAGAAGCAGUGGGAUGCUCAACCUCACAGCCUUUCAACCCAAUAAACAAAUUACAAUUUGUUAUGCGGUAUAUCCAAAGGCAUCUCCCCUGCCUCCACUAGUAAGGCACAUACAUAUGUUGAUUUAAUUGCACUUGUCAGCACUACAGAUGGUUUGUUUACAUUUUUAGAAUUAUGUCUAGGACGGAGGCCUACAGCGCCUUCUAGUGGUCGUGCCAGGGACAACAGCUAAGCCUUUUCCUACCUGCUGCGUUAAUUCACCUAACCUGCUGCGUUAAUUAUCCUAACCUGCUAUGUAAUCAAACCAUUGACAGCAUCCUGUCGGGCUGUAUCACCGCCUGGUACG